UUAACCCAGACAGAGCUUUCAGGUGCCUUGCUGUGUCGUGCCGUUCAGAGACACCACCGGAGACUCCCCCUGAAGUGACGGAAUCUUGCUGCUCUUGCUGCAGCAGCUGUUUGCCAGAGGGUCAGGAGAUUCAACACAAAAGACUGAAAUUCACGUGGAGAAGGACUUAUAUUUCUCUGGACCAGCCUAGUCUAAGCCACCAGGGAUGGAGAAGAUGGGACAAAGGGCCAUCAGCAUCGUGCAGCUCUUCCCUGCGGUACCAUGGAGACUUCUUGCACAGAGCCACGCAGGAUGUCUCUCUGCAGAAGCCCACCGUGGGCAGAGGACAGAAGAGGUGCUUGCUUUCAGCCUGCAGGACCUCUGUCCCUCCCUCACUGUGGGAAUGCUGUGGCCAAGGAGAUGGAAAGCGCUGGUGUGCCUGGGCUAGGGAGACCUGGCAGAGGGAAGCUGCUUCAGGCUUUGGCUGUGUCAAA